ensembl:lncRNA
AUGAGCACCUUGCUCUUGGCAUCCUGCCUCUCCAUGGAGCUUCCACAGACCUCACCUCUCUUGACAAGCGUUUCUGGUCUCACCUUCACCCUCUGCUUCUGCAAACCACCUGCUGGCACGGAAAGACGGUUGGAUUCGAUGAUCUUGAAGGUCUUUUCCAGCUGUGGUGAUUCUGUGAUUCUACAAGAAAAAAAAAAGACAUCAGUGGAGCAGGAUGACAGCCAGCGAACCGCACCCCCUCAGCCGCACCGCCCCCCUCUCCUGGCAGCGACCCGCUCGGCGGCUGGCGGUGACGCGUUUCCACCGCGACCGCUGGUGGUUGCCCCGGCAGCGCGUCGCCCCGAGGCCGGCGCCGAGGGUGCGGUGGGGGGAGCUGCCCGCCCGCGCCUUCCGCCCGGCUGCCCUGGGCCGUGGCUGGCGGCAGCGGCUGAAGCCCCGCGCCCUCUGGCCGGCAGCGGAGAAGGAGGUGGCGGUGGAGUUGGGCUGCGCGGCGGAGACGGCGGCCGAGCUGCGGGCCGUCUGCAGGAUCUCUACAAAUCUGCCUCCUUUUAUUUUGAAUGCAUCUUUUAUAAUGAUUGAAGAUACCUGGAGUGCAGAGAUCUUAGCAGGCUUAUUCAUCGUGACUGCCUGGACAGGAACCUCCAUCCAUUGUUGAUCAAGAGACACUGAUUAUGUACCAGAAAAUGUUUUGUAUACAAAAUGUAUGCAGCAAG